UUGAGGGGACCUGCUCCUAGUACGAGAGGACCGGAGUGGACGUAUCUCUGGUGGACCGGUUGUCACGCCAGUUGCAUCGCCGGGUCGCUAAAUACGGAAGAGAUAAACGCUGAAAGCAUCUAAGCGUGAAACUCGCCUCAAGAUAAGAUAUCCCGGGGGUUUAACCCCCCUGAAGGGUCGUUGUAGACCACAACGUUGAUAGGCCGGGUGUGGAAGCGCAGCAAUGCGUUAAGCUAACCGGUACUAAUUGCCCGUGCGGCUUGACCCU
rnacentral:rRNA from 1 species